CUACGGGAGGCAGCAGUGGGGAAUCUUGCACAAUGGGGGAAACCCUGAUGCAGCGACGCCGCGUGAACGAUGAAGCCCUUCGGGGUGUAAAGUUCUUUCGACGGGGACGAUAAUGACGGUACCCGGAGAAGAAGCUGCGGCUAACUACGUGCCAGCAGCCGCGGUAAUACGUAGGCAGCAAGCGUUGUUCGGAAUUACUGGGCGUAAAGAGUGCGUAGGCGGUUGGCUAAGUUUGGUGUGAAAUCUCCCGGCUCAACUGGGAGGGUGCGCCGAAAACUGGCUGGCUAGAGUGUGGGAGAGGUAAGUGGAAUUCCUGGUGUAGCGGUGAAAUGCGUAGAUAUCAGGAGGAACACCUGCGGUGUAGACGGCUUACUGGACCAUGACUGACGCUGAGGCACGAAAGCGUGGGGAGCAAACAGGAUUAGAUACCCCUGUAGUCC
rnacentral:rRNA from 1 species